GAUGAACGCUAGCGGCAGGCUUAAUACAUGCAAGUCGUGGGGCAGCAGGACUGUAGCAAUACAGUUGCUGGCGACCGGCAAACGGGUGCGGAACACGUACGCAACUUACCCUGAACUGGGGGAUAGCCCGGGGAAACCCGACUUAAUACCCCGUAAUAUACUGGAGUGGCAUCACUUUAUUAUUAAAGCUCCGGCGGUUCGGGAUGGGCGUGCGGCUGAUUAGGUAGUUGGUGGAGGUAACGGCUCACCAAGCCUACGAUCAGUAACUGGUGUGAGAGCACGACCCGUCACACGGGCACUGAGGCCCGCGCCCGACUCGUACGGCAGGCAGCAGUACGGAAGAUUGCGCAAUGGAGGCAACUCGGACCCAGCCAGGCCGCGUGGAGGAUGAAGGCCCUCUGGGUUAUAAACUUCUUUUAUAGGGGACGAACCCUGUGUAUUCUUACGCAGUUGACGGUACCCUACGAAUAAGCACCGGCUAACUCCGUG
rnacentral:rRNA from 1 species